UAAGGAAUAUUGGUCAAUGGACGCAAGUCUGAACCAGCCAUGCCGCGUGAAGGAUGAAGGUCCUCUGGAUUGUAAACUUCUUUUAUCUGGGACGAAAACGGGAUUUUUAUCUCAAUUGACGGUACCAGAGGAAUAAGCACCGGCUAACUCCGUGCCAGCAGCCGCGGUAAUACGGAGGGUGCGAGCGUUGCUCGGAAUCACUGGGCGUAAAGCGCACGUAGGCGGCUUUCUAAGUCAGGGGUGAAAUCCCGGAGCUCAACUCCGGAACUGCCUUUGAUACUGGAAAGCUUGAGUUCGGGAGAGGUGAGUGGAACUGCGAGUGUAGAGGUGAAAUUCGUAGAUAUUCGCAAGAACACCAGUGGCGAAGGCGGCUCACUAGCCCGAUACUGACGCUGAGGUGCGAAAGCGUGGGGAGCAAAC
rnacentral:rRNA from 1 species